rnacentral:misc_RNA from 1 species
GAUGAAGAACGUAGUGAAAUGCGAUAAGUAGUGUGAAUUGCAGAAUUCAGUGAAUCAUCGAAUCUUUGAACGCACAUUGCGCCCCUUGGUAUUCCAUGGGGCAUGCCUGUUCGAGCGUCAUUUGUACCUUCAAGCUCUGCUUGGUGUUGGGUGUUUGUCUCGCCUCUGCGUGUAGACUCGCCUCAAAACAAUUGGCAGCCGGCGUAUUGAUUUCGGAGCGCAGUACAUCUCGCGCUUUGCACUCAUAACGACGACGUCCAUAAGUACAUUUUUACACUCUUGACCUCGGAUCAGGUAGGGAUACCCGCUGAACUUAAGCAUAUCAAUAAGCGGAGGA